AUGACGGUACUCAACAAGGAAGUGACGGCUAACUACGUGCCAGCAGCCGCGGUAAAACGUAGGUCACAAGCGUUGUCCGGAAUUACUGGGUGUAAAGGGAGCGCAGGCGGGAAGACAAGUUGGAAGUGAAAUCCAUGGGCUCAACCCAUGAACUGCUUUCAAAACUGUUUUUCUUGAGUAGUGCAGAGGUAGGCGGAAUUCCCGGUGUAGCGGUGGAAUGCGUAGAUAUCGGGAGGAACACCAGUGGCGAAGGCGGCCUACUGGGCACCAACUGACGCUGAGGCUCGAAAGUGUGGGUAGCAAACAGGAUUAGAUACCCUGGUAGUCCACACCGUAAACGAUGAUUACUAGGUGUUGGAGGAUUGACCCCUUCAGUGCCGCAGUUAACACAAUAAGUAAUCCACCUGGGGAGUACGACCGCAAGGUUGAAACUCAAAGGAAUUGACGGGGGCCCGCACAAGCGGUGGAGUAUGUGGUUUAAUUCGAAGCAACGCGAAGAACCUUACCAGGCCUUGACAUCCCUUGCAGAGGUAUAGAGAUAUAUCCGAGGUUAUCAAGGAGACAGGUGGUGCAUGGUUGUCGUCAGCUCGUGUCGUGAGAUGUUGGGUUAAGUCCCGCAACGAGCGCAACCCUUGAUCUUAGUUGCCAGCAUUCAGUUGGGCACUCUAAGGUGACUGCCGGUGACAAACCGGAGGAAGGUGGGGAUGACGUCAAAUCAUCAUGCCCCUUAUGACCUGGGCUACACACGUACUACAAUGGCGUUUAACAGAGGGA
rnacentral:rRNA from 1 species